rnacentral:rRNA from 1 species
GGAGGAGUGCUUUUAUUAGAUCAAAACCAAUCGGUGGCGGGUUCAACGCUCGUCAUCGUACAACAUGGUGACUCUGAAUAACUUUACGCUGAUCGCACGGUCAUCGCACCGGCRACGCAUCUUUCAAAUGUCUGCCUUAUCAACUGUCGAUGGUAGGUUCUGCGCCUACCAUGGUUGUAACGGGUAACGGGGAAUCAGGGUUCGAUUCCGGAGAGGGAGCCUGAGAAACGGCUACCACAUCCAAGGAAGGCAGCAGGCGCGCAAAUUACCCACUCCCGGCACGGGGAGGUAGUGACGAAAAAUAACGAUACGGGACUCAUCCGAGGCCCCGUAAUCGGAAUGAGUACACUCUAAACCCUUUAACGAGGAUCAAUUGGAGGGCAA